UGCAAUUUGAUGAUAAAAUCAAGGCUUGUUCUCAAAACAUUCGCCGUUGCCGCGUAAGAGUUUUCGGACCUGACAGGGUUGAGAGCCAGUGUUGUUUUGUCCUUCCUUGGAUGUCUGAUGCA
rfam:Triticum aestivum genome assembly, contig: Triticum_aestivum_CS42_TGACv1_scaffold_291388_4AL